rnacentral:rRNA from 1 species
ACCCUACUGCUAUCGGGAUGGGGCUAAGACAUGCGAGUCGAACGCUCCUAGCCAUGAAGGAGCGCGGCGUACGGCUCAGUAACAUGUGGCUAACCUGCCCUUUGGACGGAACCAACCCCGGGAAACUGGGGCUAAUGUCCGAUAGGCGAAGAUGCCUGGAAUGGUUCUCCACCUAAAAGGCGUUGGGAUCAUGCUUUUCAACGUCGCCAGAGGAUGGGGCCGCAACCGAUCAGGCUGUUGGCGAGGUAACGGCUCACCAAACCUAUAACCGGUACGGGCCGCGGGAGCGGUAGCCCGGAGAUGGGCACUGAGACAAGGGCCCAGGCCCUACGGGGCGCAGCAGUCGCGCAAACUCUGCAAUACGCGAAAGCGUGACAGGGCUAUCCCGAGUGCCGUCCGCUGAGGAUGGCUUUUCUCCGGUGUAGUGAGCCGGAGGAAUAAGGAGAGGGCAAGUCUGGUGUCAGCCGCCGCGGUAAUACCAGCUCUCCGAGUGGUAGGGACGAUUAUUGGGCCUGAAGCGUCCGUAGCCGGCUAAGUAAGUUUCCCGUUAAAUCCAGCGAUCUAAUCGUUGGCUUGCGGGAAAUACUGCUUGGCUAGGGGGCGAGAGAGGCCAACGGUAUUUCCGGGGUAGGGGUGAAAUCUUAUAAUCCCGGGAGGACCACCAGUGGCGAAGGCUGUUGGCUAGAACGCGCUCGACGGUGAGGGACGAAAGCUGGGGGAGCGAACCGGAUUAGAUACCCGGGUAGUCCCAGCUGUAAACGAUGUGGACUAGGUGUUAGGGCGGCUACGAGCCGCUCUAGUGCCGCAGGAAAGCCAUUAAGUCCACCGCCUGGGGAGUACGGCCGCAAGGCUGAAACUUAAAGGAAUUGGCGGGGGAGCACCACCAGGGGUGAAGCUUGCGGUUU